rnacentral:lncRNA from 1 species
AGGCAUUUAUACGUGCCCAGCCACGCCAAUCGCCGGCGACGACGACGACACGAGGAAGGGGAAAGAACAAACACCAGGAGAGCAGCAAGGACACCUGACCUGGGGGCAGAGAUCGGCCGAAUUGAAGCAAGUUUCGUGUUGGUUAGGAGGUUUUCUACCUCUUUUCCCGUGGAGUUUGAGGUGUGUGUGCUCGGGAAAGAUGGCUCCUGGGAAAUCCAUGGAGAGGGCCAGUAGCUUCGCCAUGGCCUGCAGCCUCCUCAGCCGCUACGUCAGGGAGAACGGCGCCGCUGCCGGAGAGCUCGGCCUCGGCAUCAGAGGUGAGCCCUGUUUCCUGAAUCUUGACGAGGAGUUGGAAUCUUUAGCAGCUGAGUCCGCUUUCUAUAUCAGUUGGAGUUUAGAACUGUAGGAUGGGGAAAAGUUGUAACUUGAGCUUUGGUUCGUGCAAAAAACUGCGAUUCGAGGUGCUCCCGUAGUUGUCUUGUGUUAGAUCUGGACCCAAAGUUCUGAUUUUGGAAGCAAAAGUCCACCUUUUGGUUUCCGUCAAGAACUUGGGCAUCGAUCAGCUCGAACUUCUUGAAUCUGACAGCUUCUUAUCCAUUUGGCGAUCGUUUUGCUAAAGAAGUGCACUCCUAUGGUUUCAGCUGAAGCAGCAGAUGCACAGAGGACGCCGGCAGACGCAGAGAAGGGGGACGCCAGGAAGGAGACCAUGGACCUCUUUCCACAGGACGCUGGGUUCGGCACCGAGGCCGCAGCGCAAGAAGCCCCUGAUGCCAGGUAUUGGACGAAACGAACAACUCCCAUAUGAUUUGCUUCAGUUCAGAGUAGUUCUUGUUCAUACAAGCAAACUGUUCUAGUUAGUUGAUUCACUUGUAUAGUAAGUAAAUGGAGCAAACUCUUGUGAGGAGGAAAUGCUUAGUGACCAGAUCUUGUUCGAAGGAGCUUUGGUUUGAGUCAUGGCCCUAAUUCUUCGUAUGAAGUAGGUGGUUCAUUCAUAGCAACAUGGAGAUCGAUGUCUAGAAACGAAUCUGUGAUAAAUAUGUUCCCUGGUGGUUUUGGAACAUGAUCUGAACUGAAUGUUAAAUUCCUUACGCAUGUUAGGUUGCAAGGCACACUUUGCCAAAUUUUACAUGGCAAGUCUGGCAAGCCCACAGUUUCUGCGCCAAACUUUCUUGUUAUGAAGUUUUCUGUGCCAAACCUUCUUGUUAUGAAACUUCUGAGCCAAGCUUUCUUGUUAUUACAUAGCAAGUAAUUUAUUCAUGAGCAUGGUGCUGAGAAAUAAAUGGAUGGUAAAUAUGUGCAGCCCUAGUUCUGGAACAUAAAACUUCAAUCCAGCGAAGCUGUUAUUCUGGAUAUGCUGGCUAUCUAUUAGACUGAAGAUGAUACAUAUGCAUGUCAACCAGAAUUUGUGGAUCUAGUAACUGGGACUCACAGCUUUGUCUUGUCAUAACUCUUGUCAGGGAGAAAGAGAAGCACCAGCUGACUAUCUUCUAUGCUGGGAAGGUCCUCGUGUUCGAUGACUUCCCUGCUGAGAAGGCGAAGGACCUGAUGCAGAUGGCCGGCAGGGGUGCAUCCGUGGCUCAGAGCUCUGGCUCGCUGCCUUCCCCUGCAGUUGCAACCGUUACUGACAGCACUAAGGUCGCAGCUGUGCCAGCUGCACCAAUUCCUGUGGUCAGUGCCCAGAAGAAUGCAGCAGGUAGUUAGUCCACCCCUUGUUCAUAAGCACAUGACAUCUGAAUGAUCAAUUUCUGUCUUGCUCAUUGUUCUGAAAAUGUAUGUGCUACAGAUAUACCUCAGGCUCCGAAGGCGUCUCUUCGCCGGUUCCUUGAGAAGCGAAAGGACCGGUAGGUUUCUCUUGCUGCUAAGAUGGAACAACUGCUGUUCAGAUUCCUCAAGUCUUUGGAGGAUGAUCUAACUUGCGCUAUUCCCUGUUUCAGCAUUACUGCCAAAGCACCAUACCAAGGCUCCCCUUCAGAUGCUACAC